UACGGAGGGGGCUAGCGUUGUUCGGAAUCAUUGGGCGUAAAGGGCGCGUAGGCGGCCGAUCAAGUCGGAGGUGAAAUCCCUCGGCUCAACUGAGGAAUUGCCUUCGAUACUGUUCGGCUUGAGUCCUGGAGAGGGUAGCGGAAUUCCCGGUGUAGCGGUGAAAUGCGUAGAGACCGGGAAGAACACCAGUGGCGAAGGCGGCUACCUGGACAGGUACUGACGCUGAGGCGCGAAAGCGUGGGGAGCGAACAGG
rnacentral:rRNA from 1 species